ACCAGUAGCUUUUCGGAGAAGGAAAACAUCGUGAGGAAACCGGACUAAUCCUAAUAAGGCCUAGUUUACCCUCUGGGUUGGAAGGUCAGAUGGCAGUCGCUUUCUUAAAAACUAGUGCCUAUGCCUAUUAUAUGAGAUUAUCCGGUUUCCUCACGAUGUUUUCCUUCACCGAAAAGAGACUGGUAAAUAUCAAAUGAUAUUUCGUACAUAAGUUCCGAAAAACUCAUUGGUACGAGCCGGGGUUUGAACCCGCGACCUCCAGAUUGCAAGUCGCACGCUCUCACCGCUAGGCCACCAGCGCUUC